rnacentral:lncRNA from 1 species
CCAUAUAAACAUUGCCAUGUCUAUGCCCAACAAAUUUAAUGCCUUCAUUAACAGGACUAGUUAUAAUGCAAACAGAAGAUUCAAAAAUAACUUUGUAUCAUUUAUCACAAAAUUGACUGAUGCUUAAUAAAUUAUAUUUUAAACCAUCUACUAAUAAAAUAUUUUUAAUAUACUUGGAGGGAGUGAUACCAAUGUUAUC